rnacentral:rRNA from 1 species
UACAGAGGUCUCAAGCGUUGUUCGGAUUCAUUGGGCGUAAAGGGUGCGUAGGUGGCGCCGUAAGUCGGGUGUGAAAUUUCGGAGCUUAACUCCGAAACUGCAUUCGAUACUGCGGUGCUUGAGGACUGGAGAGGAGACUGGAAUUCAUGGUGUAGCAGUGAAAUGCGUAGAGAUCGGGAGGAACACCCGUGGCGAAGGCGGCUCACUGGGCUGACCUUGACGCUGAGGCGCGAAGGCGUGGGGAGCGAACGGGAU